rnacentral:piRNA from 1 species
UGAGAAUCUGCUUUGUGAGCUGAGUCGCA